AAACACAGUCGAGUGUACAAAGCCAUCAAUCAAAAUCAUGUAUCGGGAUUGUAGUUUCUUGGUUAUAUUUGGUAUCAACUUUUUUUUCAACUUGAUAUUAUAUUUUUUAGCGAAACUUGAUAUUAUAUAAUGUGGUAAUAUUCUCCCGAAAUGACCUUUGGUAAGUUCUCGUUUUCAGGAACCGGCCCACAAAUAUAGUUUUAGGGUAAACCGGCCGAUAUGCUAAUGGGCUGAACAGACCAAAUUUGAGUUUUUUUUUCUCGUCCCAAGUAACAAAAAAGCACGUUCCACAACUUUCUCCUAAAGAAAACGUGUUCACCUCCUGGUAUUAAUCAACUAUAAAUACCUAUUUUUGUACUUGAUAUAUAUUUUCAUAAUAUACUUAUUUGAUAUUCUAGAUGUUGAAACAUUUUUCUAUAAACUUGGUAAAAAAAAUAAAAAAAGAGACAAAGGUAAGACGUUUUGUAUUUAGGAAUGGAGGUAUAGUACUAAACAAGAUGUUGUUUCUUAUUGCCACAAAUUUAAAAAUUAUGAUGCAGAGAGAAGUAUGAAAGGCUUGAAUAUCUGAACGCAAUGGAUGGUGUCGUUGUGAAAAUAAAUGGUGCAUAAAAAGAAAGCAAGUAUGGAGCUUGGCCUCACUAGAGCCAGUUUUGGUCUAUAUAUAAAACCCACUCCCUCUUCCUCUAUUAUUUGCUCCAAACUGCAGUGCCCAGACCAUAUAUACAGGGGCCUGCAUAUAUAGGCUAGCUACUCUUAUAAAUAUCGGCAA
rnacentral:lncRNA from 1 species